rnacentral:rRNA from 1 species
GACGAACGCUGGCGGCGUGCUUAACACAUGCAAGUCGAACGGAAAGGCCCUGCUUUUGUGGGGUGCUCGAGUGGCGAACGGGUGAGUAACACGUGAGUAACCUGCCCUUGACUUUGGGAUAACUUCAGGAAACUGGGGCUAAUACCGGAUAGGAGCUCCUGCUGCAUGGUGGGGGUUGGAAAGUUUCGGCGGUUGGGGAUGGACUCGCGGCUUAUCAGCUUGUUGGUGGGGUAGUGGCUUACCAAGGCUUUGACGGGUACCCGGCCUGAGAGGGUGACCGGCCACCAUGGGACUGAGAUACGGCCCAGACUCCUACCGGAGGCAACAGUGGGGAAUAUUGCACAAUGGGGCGAAGCCUGAUGCAACAACGCCGCGUGCGGGAAGACGGCCUUCGGGGUGUAAACCGCUUUCGCCUGUGACGAAGCGUGAGUGACGGUAAUGGGUAAAGAAGCAACGGCUAACUACGUG